rnacentral:rRNA from 1 species
CUCAGGACGAACGCUGGCGGCGUGCCUAAUACAUGCAAGUCGAGCGAGCGGAACUAACAGAUUUACUUCGGUAAUGACGUUAGGAAAGCGAGCGGCGGAUGGGUGAGUAACACGUGGGGAACCUGCCCCAUAGUCUGGGAUACCACUUGGAAACAGGUGCUAAUACCGGAUAAGAAAGCAGAUCGCAUGAUCAGCUUUUAAAAGGCGGCGUAAGCUGUCGCUAUGGGAUGGCCCCGCGGUGCAUUAGCUAGUUGGUAAGGUAAAGGCUUACCAAGGCGAUGAUGCAUAGCCGAGUUGAGAGACUGAUCGGCCACAUUGGGACUGAGACACGGCCCAAACUCCUACGGGAGGCAGCAGUAGGGAAUCUUCCACAAUGGACGCAAGUCUGAUGGAGCAACGCCGCGUGAGUGAAGAAGGUUUUCGGAUCGUAAAGCUCUGUUGUUGGUGAAGAAGGAUAGAGGUAGUAACUGGCCUUUAUUUGACGGUAAUCAACCAGAAAGUCACGGCUAACUACGUGCCAGCAGCCGCGGUAAUACGUAGGUGGCAAGCGUUGUCCGGAUUUAUUGGGCGUAAAGCGAGCGCAGGCGGAAGAAUAAGUCUGAUGUGAAAGCCCUCGGCUUAACCGAGGAACUGCAUCGGAAACUGUUUUUCUUGAGUGCAGAAGAGGAGAGUGGAACUCCAUGUGUAGCGGUGGAAUGCGUAGAUAUAUGGAAGAACACCAGUGGCGAAGGCGGCUCUCUGGUCUGCAACUGACGCUGAGGCUCGAAAGCAUGGGUAGCGAACAGGAUUAGAUACCCUGGUAGUCCAUGCCGUAAACGAUGAGUGCUAAGUGUUGGGAGGUUUCCGCCUCUCAGUGCUGCAGCUAACGCAUUAAGCACUCCGCCUGGGGAGUACGACCGCAAGGUUGAAACUCAAAGGAAUUGACGGGGGCCCGCACAAGCGGUGGAGCAUGUGGUUUAAUUCGAAGCAACGCGAAGAACCUUACCAGGUCUUGACAUCUAGUGCCAUUUGUAGAGAUACAAAGUUCCCUUCGGGGACGCUAAGACAGGUGGUGCAUGGCU